rnacentral:lncRNA from 1 species
CCACACUGAUGUCCCCUGUGUGUCCCUGUGUGUGUCCCUGUGUGUCCCCCCACACUGAUGUCCCCUGUCCCCGUGUGUCCCCAGCUGCUGUGGGUGCUGCUGCUGGCCACCAUCAUCGGGCUGCUGCUGCAGCGGCUGGCAGCCAGGCUGGGCGUGGUGACAGGGCUGCACCUGGCCGAGGUGUGCCACCGCCAGUACCACAAGGUGGGUGCCAGGGGCAUGGGGAGGGGGCUGGGACACUGCCCUGGGUGCCAAGGGGGAGCUGGCCUGGGUGGGUGACACUGCCCUGGGUGCCAAUGGGUGCCAAGGGGGGCUGGGGUAGGUGGGUGAUCCUCCCCCAGAUCCUCAGGGUGGGUGACACUGCCCAAGGUCCUCAUGGGGGUGGGUGACACUACACCAGGUAUUUAGGGGUGCCCCAGGGGGCUGGGGUCAGUUCUGGGGGAUUGGGGACCCCCCCAGUGUCCCUGGUGGUGCCAGGGCAUCCCUGAGGCCCAUGGGAUGGCCAGUCCCUGUGCGCUGGGAAGGGCUGUGGGGACACUGGGGACAUCCCAUCCCUCUGACUGUGAGGACAUUUGGGAUGUCCUGUUUGGGAUGCCCAUCCCUGUCUGGGGACAUUGGGAUGCCAUCCCUGUGGUUGUGGGGACAUUUGGGGGUGUCCCAUUUGGGAUGUCCCAUUUGGAGUGCCAUGCCUGUGUCUGGGAACCUUUGGGGUGCCAUCUCUGUCUCUUAGGGGACACUGGGUGUCCCAUCCCUGUGUCUGGGGACAUUUUGGAUGCCAUCCCUGUCUCUGUGGGGACAUUUGGAUGUCCCAUCCCUGUGUCUGGGGACAUUUUGGAUGCCAUCCCUGUCUCUGUGGGGACAUUUGGGUGUCCCAUCCCUGCUCCCUUGGGUGUUCCCACCCCGGCAGUGUCCCUGCCCUGCCCUGGAAUGUCUCCCCACGCUCACUCCCGGUUUCCCCACAGCUGCAGCUCCCACGUUUCCCUCUGCCAGCUGGGCAGGGGCUGGGCUGGUCCCGGUGCCCUGGAUCCUCCUGGCAUUGCCACAGGAGCUGGAAUGGCCCUGGAUCCUCCUGGCAUUGCCACAGGAGCUGGAAUGGCCCUGGAUCCUCCUGGCAGUGCCACAGGAGCUGGAAUGGCCCUGGAUCCUCCUGGCAGUGCCACAGGAGCUGGGCUGGGUGCCCUGGCAGUGCCACAGGAGCUGGGCUGGGUGCCCUGGCAGUGCCACAGGAGCUGGGCUGGGUGCCCUGGCAUUGCCCAGGACAGGCUGGCACCUCCCAGCUGCAGUUUCAGCUCCACAGCAGCCCCGAGCGCCUCCGAGCCCAGGGCAGGGCGGUGACCCCGUUCCUGCCCACGGGGGUACCACGGGGUGAUGUUUGUCCCUGCUUUUCCCUGGCAUUUCCCUGGCAUUUCCCUGGCAUUUCCCUGGCAUUUCCCUGUGUGUUUACCCUGCUGGGUUUUUCC